CUUUCGAGCGUGAUUUUGCGUUUUGGAGUUUGCGGAUUUUGGAGAGUCACAAUUUGUAUCCAUCAUGGUGUCGCACCGCACCGUGUCCUUAAGGUGUCUGGUGUUAAGGCUCCGGGAGGCUGAAGAGCUGUCAUGGGCUGACUGCCUGCUCGCUCGACUCCCAUCUUGUUGAUUUGUGAUCCUAACUUUCUCAAGGGACUCAGAGACUGGAUUCUGCCUGCACUAUAGCUUCUCAGCAGAGUGGCGUGAUUGCCGCGUGUGGCCCCGGGCAUCCAUAACCCAGAUCCAAGGACUCAAUCCCCCACCCCCCCAGCCACCACCCACGCUGGUCACCGAUUGAAGAUGGAGGAUGGGGGAGGAGAGGAAGAGAGAGGGAGGGAGGGAUGGAUGGAUGGAGGAUAGGAUGGGAGAGGGGAGUAGAGGGAGGGAUGAAGGGAAGGAGAGGAUGGGACGCAGUGAUGGAGUGAUGGAAGGGGUAGAGGAGAUGAGAGGAGAGUGGGAAAAGUGGAUGGGAGGGGGGAUAGAGAGAUGAAGAGAAGGAGGGAGUGAUGAAAGGCUAGUGAUGAAGUGAUGAUGGAGGAGAG